rnacentral:lncRNA from 10 species
AGGCGCCGUGAUGUGGGUGGCUGGAAGAGCGGAGAGCCAGCGACCGCCGAUCUGUUAGCUCGUGCGACCCAGCGGCGGGGGUCCUCCACUGUUCAUUUCUCUACAACUGAAGGAAAAUACUGUGUGUUGAGCACCUGUGUAGUGCGCGAAUUAAAGGCCUCAUCCUUCUGGAACUUAAAUUUUAAUGAAGCCAUGUGGGCAAUAAAUGUGUGUGUGAGAGAGAGAGAGAGAGAAUGUGACCUGAGUCCAUGGUGAAAUGUGAGAAGAGAUACACUGAAGGUGGAAUUAUUCAACAAAAAGGAACCAGAACUUGAAGAUUUGGAUCAUUCUUAUACUCACAUUGUAAAAAAAAA